rnacentral:rRNA from 1 species
UACGUAGGCAGCAAGCGUUGUUCGGAGUUACUGGGCGUAAAGGGUGCGUAGGCGGCUUUUUAAGUCUGGUGUGAAAUCUCCCGGCUCAACUGGGAGGGUGCGCCGGAUACUGAGGGGCUAGAGUGUGGGAGAGGAAAGUGGAAUUCCUGGUGUAGCGGUGAAAUGCGUAGAUAUCAUUUGGAACGCCAACGGAGAAAGCAGGUAGCUGGGGGUGUGCUGACGCUGAGACACGAAAGCCAGGGGAGCGAACGGG